rnacentral:rRNA from 1 species
AUGAGUCUCAUCUGUUGGAACUGUCGGGGCCUGGUGUCGGACUCGACAGUUGGCGAGCUUCGCUGGCUUGUGAAGCUUUACCGACCCUCCCUUCUCUUUCUGUCGGGGACAAAGAUGAGGGAUGUGAAAGUGAAGAAUUUUAUGUGGUCUUUGGGUUUCUCUGGAUGUUUUGCUGUCAGUUGUGAUGGCCGUAGUGGGGGCCUGGCUCUUUUCUGGACUUCUUCUGCGGAUGUGUCUAUU